UUCUGAGUGCAGCUUGUGGGGACGCCUGGGUGGCUCAGUCGGUUAAACAUCUGCCUUCCGCUCAGGUCAUGACCCCAGAGUCAUGGGAUCCAGCCCUGCCUUGGGCUCCCUGCUCAGCAGGGAACACGCUUCUCCCUCUCCUUCUGCCCCUCCCCCCAGCUGGUGAUAUCUCUCUCUCUCAAAUAAAGAAAUAAAAUCUUAAAAAAAAAAAAAAAAAAAGAGGGUCCAAUUUGUGCCAUUUCACAAGCUGUGUGAACAUCAGAUAAAUUAACCUCCCCGAUCCUAGAUGGUCUUCACUGCAAAAUAAGAGCAUUUGCUGUCCUGCUUACCUCUACGUGUCUUAAGAACUAUUGAAUGAUGCACAGACCUCCUGUGCUUACUGUGCCUGGUGCUGGGGGGCCUUCCCAGCAAGAGUCCACCCCUCCAUAUAUGUGAAAGGCAAUUCAAAUACAUGUUUUGUCCCUCGUAUCCUAUCAUUCUCUUUGAAAGCUGCCUACUCGGGUUACAUUAUUUGUCGGUUCAUUGAAUUGAUUGUACCAAAUGGCGCUUCGGCUUUCUUGGACCGAAAUGGAGGGACGCUGUGUUAAAGAGCCAAAUGGAAGUCUCUGUUGUACUCAUCACGGCCACACAGAGAUGACACCAGCAUCCCCAGCUCACAGGGCCCUUCACAAAGACUCAGCGAGAGCGCUCUCUCGGGUCUCAGGAUGAGGGAAGGCUCUGCUUUGUCCAGAGAACUCAUCGGCUUUGAUCUCAGAACACCAGAGUUCGGAUUUGGUUUUCUCCUGUAUUUCUUCAACCAGAAUCCCCCCCAGAAGCUGGAGUGGAAGGUGCCCAGCAUGGUAACAACCAGGUACAGGCAUUCCCUCCCCUUCCUUUUGUCCUAAGCAAAAAUCAAAAAGGAUUUAAUAAGAGCAUAUAAUGUAUUUACUAAUCUUGAAAUAAAUAUGGACAUGGCAACUGAAAUUUACAUAGGUACCUACCCAGAACCAGUAACUGUAUUCAAC
rnacentral:lncRNA from 1 species